rnacentral:lncRNA from 1 species
AAAAAACAAAAAAAAUAUCUAUUAUUGUCAUUGCAUAUAUUACGACAAAGUAAAGAAAACUGGUUAUUAUAACAUAUCAAAUAAAUAGAGAUUUAUUUUUUUGGCAUCAAUAGAUGAUUAUUUUUUAUUAUAUGCUACAAGUUGAUUUUCAUAAGUUCAAAAAAAAAAUUGAUUUUAUUUAUAUAAAAUGGAAACAAUGGUUAAUGGUCGCCAAUAAAAUAUGGAAACAUAAUAAUGCUAACAGAAAUAUAAUAAAUGGCUUUGUAAAAAGAUGGAAAUAAUUGAGAUUUUGAACUGAGCUUUGAGAACAGAUUUUGUUAGGGGGCAAAAAGUAUUUUUCAACGGGGACAACUGAAAUAUAUACUCAUCAUAUAAAAGAAAGUUUUAAAUUUCAUAUGGGGCAACUGCCUCAUACUUACCCUAAGUAGAUCUGCCCCUGUUUGUAACAUCACCAAC